rnacentral:rRNA from 1 species
GAUGAACGCUGGCGGCGUGCCUAAUACAUGCAAGUCGAGCGAACAGACGAGGAGCUUGCUCCUCUGACGUUAGCGGCGGACGGGUGAGUAACACGUGGAUAACCUACCUAUAAGACUGGGAUAACUUCGGGAAACCGGAGCUAAUACCGGAUAAUAUAAUGAACCGCAUGGUUCAAUAGUGAAAGACGGUUUUGCUGUCAGUAAUAGAUGGAUCCGCGCCGCAUUAGCUAGGUGGUAAGGUAACGGCCUACCAAGGCAACGAUGCGUAGCAGACCUGAGAGGGUGAUCGGCCACACUGGAACUGAGACACGGUCCAGACUCCUACGGGAGGCAGCAGUGGGGAAUCUUCCGCAAUGGGCGAAAGCCUUACCGAGCCACGCCGCGUGAGUGAUGAAGGUCUUCGGAUCGUAAAACCCUUUUAUUAGGGAAGAACAACUGUGUAAGUAACUAUGCCCGUCUUGACGGUACCUAAUCAGAAAGCCACGGCUAACUACGUG